AAUUGAAGUUCUUUCGAACAAAAGAAAAAAAGGGACACAAUCAAAUAAUUUUUGCAACUAAAUUAAGUUUUCAAAGGUUGCCGCCACCGGCGACAGCCAUUCUCCUCCCUCCUCCCUUUCCCUUAGAUUCCCUCUUCCAUCUUCUUCUUCGUCAUUUUAUUUCCUAAGACCCAGCCCCUUAAAUUCAAUCCUUUCCAAAGCCAGCAAGUUGCAGCUGUCGAAGCUUCGCCCACCCACAAGUCCGCCAGCGGAGACCCAGCCUCCGCCACCGGUUAAUGCGCACCAGUCCAGUUCUUUGUUCUUCUUCUCUUCCAAUUUCCAUUGCCAAAUAAGCGAGGACAAAGGUUUUUUUUUUUUGGAAUUGUUUAGCUUUAUGUGGACUUGUUCUUGAAUGUGCUUUAAGAAAAAGAAAAAGAAUGGUUCGUAGAUUAUCAACUAGAUUAUUGAACGUUUGCAUUGCUUCAUUUUGUAAAGCCCAUAAAUUGGAGAAAGCCGAAACGGUUAUUAUUGAUGGUAUAAGAUUGGGAGUGCUCCCUGAUGUCGUAACUUACAACAUACUUAUUGAUGCAUACUGUCGUUUAGUCGGAAUCGAUGCUGGUUACUCUGUUCUUCAUAGAAUGGGAGAAGCUGGGAUUUCUCCAGAUGUUAUUUCUUACAAUUCUUUGAUAGCUGGCGCCAGUAGGAAUUGCCAAAUAUCUCGGUCUUUUAAUCUGUUUGAUGAAAUGAUUCAAAGAGGUAUUGCUCCUGAUAUUUGGAGUUACAAUACUUUGAUGCACAGCUUCUUCAAGUUAGGAAAACCAGAUGAGGCCAAUAGGGUUUUCCAGGAUAUAAUACUUGUUGAGCAUUUGCCUUGUGUCGCUACUUUUAACAUUAUGAUGAAUGGUCUCUGUAAGAAUGGGUAUACUGAGAAUGCUUUUAUGUUGUUUAGGAAUUUACAGCGUCAUGGAUUUGUGCCAGAGUUAAUGACAUACAAUAUUCUUGUUAGUGGAUUAUGCAAGAUUGGUAGAUUAGGGUUGGCAAUGAGGAUUUUUAAAGAAAUAGUAGAAUCGGGUCAUGUUCCAAAUGCCAUAACAUACACUCCUGUACUGAGAUGCUGCUUUAGGAAGAGGAAGUUUGAAGAAGGGCUCGAGUUAUUGUCUGAGAUGAAGAGUAAAGGGUAUAUGUUUGAUGGUUUUGCUUACUGCACUGUUAUUGGUGCUCUAAUCAAGAUAGGCAAGAUGAAAGAGGCAACUGAAUUCAUGGUGGAGAUGAUGAGGACUGGUAUUGAGCUUGAUAUAGUGUCUUAUAACACCCUCAUUAAUAUGUAUUGUAAAGAUAAUAAGUUAGAAGAAGCCUACAAGUUGUUGGAUGAUAUAGAAAAAAAAGGGUUGGAAUGUGACAAAUAUACACACACAAUAAUGAUUGAUGCAUUGUGCAAGGCAGGUAAUAUUGAGGGGGCUGCACGACAUCUGAAGUACAUGAGUACGAUGGGCUUUGAUUCAAACUUGGCUGCUUAUAAUUGUUUUAUUGAUGGGUUGUGUAAAGUUGGUCACAUUGAUGAUGCAAUGAAAGUCUUUAAAUCAAUGGAGGUAAGAGAUUCUCUUACCUACUCCUCUUUGGUGCACAAUCUUUGCAGAGCUGGAAGUUACCGCUCUGCAUCCAAGCUUCUGCUAUCUUGUUUGCGAAGUGGUAUGAGAAUACUGAAGUCUGCCCAACUGGCUGUCCUGUCUGGUCUUCGCUAUUCUGGAUUUCCUGGAGAGGCAAGGAAGGGACAUGAGCUGCUCUGUUUGCAUCCUAUCAAGGAGAUAUGCUCGUAGAAGUGUAUUUUACAUGGAAGGCUUAGCCUUGCAGGAUCAAUGGUCUAAAAUACUCACAGUUUAAGUUGAAACUGUCUGUGGCAGGUGUGAUGAAGGAAGAGGCACCUCAUUAGAAAAUUAUCUGGAACCUUGGCAGUUGCCACUUUGAAUGCUGGGUUAAAGUAUCUAUUUCUCCCUGGGAUCCGCCCUAGAUGCAUUUGCAGAAAGGAGUUUAGAGGCUGGUUGCUCAAGGAAUAGGAAGAAAUUCUCAUAGUCUCUCUGUCUUUUCCUUUGUGGAUCAAUGGCUUGGCUAGACGGCGGUGGAUGAGGUACAUCCAGCAAGUUGUGGCAUCAGGUAGCUCUGUCUGCUCUUCGUUUCCGAGGUGCAGGGAUCUCUCUCUAGUCUCUCCUUCCCCAUUUCUUCUCCUAUUAGGUAGCUGACAACAUUAAGUGAAGCUCAAGGACCGAGCCCAACCGAUCUCCACUUUAAAUUAUUGGAGUAGCGUUUCAAACUUAGCAUUGAUAUCAGUUAGCAUUCAAAAGCAUUUCAAUAUUUUAUUUUUAUUUAAAGAGUUCCAUUCGAAUCUAUCAUUAUUUAAAUAAAAUAAUAUUAAUAUCAGAUAAAAUUUUGUGCAAUUUUUUCGGUAGUUUCGCCUCCAGAUAUGAGAAAGUUUUAACUUCCAAGUUAAAAGAACUUAAUUGAAAGA